rnacentral:lncRNA from 1 species
UGGGAGGGAACUUCCACUGAGAAACCUGGAAUUGGGAACCCAAAAUCCAUCAGGGAACCCCAAAAUCCAUCAUGGAACCUUGAGAGGGACCUUCCACCAAGAAACCUGGAAUUGGGAACCCAAAAUCCAUCAUAAAACCCCAAAAUCCAUCAUGGAACACAAAAUCCAUCAUGGAACCCAAAAUCCAUCCCAGACGGGCCUUGGAGGGACCCUCCACCGAGAAACCUGGGGAGAAACCAGGAUUGGAACCCCAAAAUCCAUCCCAGGCAGGCCUGGGAGGGACCUUCCACCGAGAAACCUGGAAUUGGGAACCCAAAAUCCAUCAGGGAACCCCAAAAUCCAUCAUGGAAUCUGUCCUUGUACCCAGGUGAGCCUGGGAGGGACCCUCCACCGAGAAACCUGGGGAGAAACCAGGAUUGGAACCCAAAAUCCAUCAUGGAACCUUGAGAGGGACCUUCCACUGAGAAACCUGGGGAGAAACCCAAAAUCCAUCAGGGAACCCCAAAAUCCAUCCCAGACGGGCCUGGGAGGGACCCUCCACCGAGAAACCUGGAAUUGGGAACCCAAAAUCCAUCAGGGAACCCCAAAAUCCAUCCCAGACAGGCCUGGGAGGGACCCUCCACCGAGAAACCUGGGGAGAAAUCAGGAUUGGAACCCAAAAUUCAUCAGGGAACCCUGGGAGGGACCUUCCACCGAGAAACCUGGGGAGAAACCCACAAUCCAUCAGGGAACCCCAAAAUCCAUCAGGGAACCCCAAAUUCAUCAGGGAACCUGUCCUUGUACCCAGGUGAGCCUGGGAGGGACCCUCCACCGAGAAACCUGGAAUUGGGAACCCAAAAUCCAUCAGGGAACCCAAAAUCCAUCCCAGGUGGGUCUGGGAGGGACCUUCCACCGAGAAACCUGGGGAGAAAUCAUGGAUUGGAACCCAAAAUCCAUCAGGGAACUCCAAAUCCAUCAUGGAACCCCAAAAUCCAUCCCAGACGGGCCUGGGAGGGACCUUCCACCGAGAAACCUGGAAUUGGGAACCCAAAAUCCAUCAGGGAACCCAAAAUCCAUCACGGAACCCCAAAAUCCAUCACGGAACCCCAAAAUCCAUCAUGGACCCAAAAUCCAUCACGGAACCCCAAAAUCCAUCAUGGAGCCCCAAAAUCCAUCAUGGACCCCAAAAUCCAUCCCAGACAGGUCUGGGAGGAAACUUCCACUGAGAAACUUUGGGAGAAACCCAAAAUCCAUCAGGGAACCCCAAAAUCCAUCAUGGAGCCCCAAAAUCCAUCAUGGAACCCCAAAAUCCAUCACGGAACCCUGGUUUGGGGUGAGAAAUCAGAGACUGGGGACAGGAAACGUGAACUUGGUGACGAUGGGAACCCUGGGACAAGCAGGGGUUUGGGGUGAGAAACCCGA